AGACCCGAAACCCGGUGAUCUAGCCAUGGGCAGGUUGAAGGUUGGGUAACACUAACUGGAGGACCGAACCGACUAAUGUUGAAAAAUUAGCGGAUGACCUGUGGCUGGGGGUGAAAGGCCAAUCAAACCGGGAGAUAGCUGGUUCUCCCCGAAAGCUAUUUAGGUAGCGCCUCGUGAAUUCAUCUCCGGGGGUAGAGCACUGUUUCGGCUAGGGGGCCAUCCCGGCUUACCAACCCGAUGCAAACUGCGAAUACCGGAGAAUGUUAUCACGGGAGACACACGGCGGGUGCUAACGUCCGUCGUGAAGAGGGAAACAACCCAGACCGCCAGCUAAGGUCCCAAAGUCAUGGUUAAGUGGGAAACGAUGUGGGAAGGCCCAGACAGCCAGGAUGUUGGCUUAGAAGCAGCCAUCAUUUAAAGAAAGCGUAAUAGCUCACUGGUCGAGUCGGCCUGCGCGGAAGAUGUAACGGGGCUAAACCAUGCACCGAAGCUGCGGCAGCGAACGUAUCACCCAAGACAACUUUACGGAGUUGACGAUUGACGGAGCGAAGCGACGUCAAAGCGUUCAUUAAAGUCGAGUUGGCUUAGGGAUACGUUCGUUGGGUAGGGGAGCGUUCUGUAAGCCUGUGAAGGUGUGUCGUGAGGCAUGCUGGAGGUAUCAGAAGUGCGAAUGCUGACAUAAGUAACGAUAAAGCGGGUGAAAAGCCCGCUCGCCGGAAGACCAAGGGUUCCUGUCCAACGUUAAUCGGGGCAGGGUGAGUCGACCCCUAAGGCGAGGCCGAAAGGCGUAGUCGAUGGGAAACGGGUUA
rnacentral:rRNA from 2 species